UAGAAAUGGAUAAGAAAUAUGCAUCUAUGCUAGCACUUUCAUUUUUAAUUGUCACCAUAAGUUUAUUUUUAAAUUUUUCGUCGGUAUAGAGCCUAUUAAAAAAAAAUCCCAUGCGCCGCGCCAAAUCUUUACCGAUCUGUACAGCAUUUUCAAUUUUUUUUUCAGGGCUUAAACUCUCAGCCUUCUUCUCCCAUCACUUUCGACUAUUAAUUAACUCUCUGUAACUCUCAACCCUCCUCUCUCAUCACUCUCACCAUCUCAUCUUCUCAGCUCCCUUCGGCAUCAACUCUCACCGUAACCUCUCUAGAAUCGCCUCCUUCUUCUUCAAAUUUCGGCAUCCUUGGCAAUCGCACGGGUUUGGGCAUAACAAAAGGCCAAUCGCAAAGGUGCGCUUGGGUUUAGAUAUUGGAAAAUCUGUUGGUUCGGUUCAUAGAUUUGGAUUAAGAGAUUGAGUUCAGAGACUGGUAAUAUUCUCUCUCAUAAUAGGUGGUUAAGAAAGAAGAGGUUGCUACUUUGAUCAAAGAAUUUCUGCAGAAUUUUACUUGUAUAAUUAGAACUUUAGAAGAGGAUUUUGUUUACAAACUAUCAACAUAUAUGAAUAAAUAUUAAUUAUUAGUUAGUUAUUUAAUAAAUUAUGUUUGUCUUUAAUCUCAAAUAAUCUUUUCAAAGUCUCUAAAAUAGUAUUGCACUCAAAAUUUUCUUCUUCGAAAACAUGUGAAUAAAAACAGUGUAUACUGAUAAUAUAAUAUAUAUAUAUAUAUAUAGAAGGAAAUUAUAUGUGGAAGCACAAAAUUAUAUCUGGGCCACACAUUUUCAGCCCAGGUUGCGAUCCAUCCUACACAUGCACACUUGGGCCAAAUUGUGCUCCAUCCUACACUGGCACACACAAUAGUACAUAAGGUAUAGUUUUAAGAGUAUUUAUUACAACUACUACUUUUUCAAUUUUUUUAUUUUUAUAAUCUCUAAAUUAUUUUUUUCAUUUUCAUAACUAUUGAAACUCAUUCAUGAUAGAGUAGUUUUUAUAUUGUUUUAGGAAAUUUUUGAGCUUAUUUAGAUUUAUUAUAAUUACUACUUUUUUUUUUAUUAUCUCUAAAUUAUUUUUUUCAAUUUCAUAAUUAUUGAAACUCAUUCAUGAUAGAGUAGUUUUUAUAUUGUUUUAGAGAGUUGUUUAAGGAAAUUGUUGAACUUAUUUAGUUAUGUUUGUGCAGUAUGAUGCUUUUCUUGCCUGUGUUUGACAAUAUUUCAGGGUUUAUGGAAAAAUUGAUAAAUGGACCAUGUUUGGCCUCGAAAAGAUGUGAUUUGGUGAAAAAAUAAAGACAUUUGAAUCGCGGUGCUAAGUAUUAAAGGUCACGGCGCUGCGAUUAGACAGAGACACCAAAAUUCUGAGAAGUGGGGGGUCGCGGCACUACCUUUUCUGAGUUGUGGCGCUUGUUGAGGCAGAGACAAGACAGAUUUCAAUUCUUGAACACGGAUUGCGACGCUUCAUUAUGGGGUCACAGCGCCUCAGAUAGUCAAAGUGUGAAUUUGGGCAUUUUAAACACGGGCAAAAGUGGAGUUUCACAUUCAAAACACAAACAACUAUAUAAGUAGCAUUAUGAUGAUUUUUGAAGGAGAAACUCAAGGAUACACUUUGUGGAGGCAAAGGAUUGAAGAACUACUAGUUUUUAUCAUUCUUUUUCUUCUUUUACUUUCUAUUGUAGUGAUGUUUAUACUUAGUUUAAUAGAUUUGAUUAUGUUUAUCAUGAACUAAUUUCUUAUAUUAGAGUGUUAAUGGAUCAUUCUUGAAACCUUAUGAUUAUCUAAUGUAGUUUUAUGAAUUUUCUAUCAA